rnacentral:rRNA from 1 species
AUACGUAGGGGGCGAGCGUUGUCCGGAAUGAUUGGGCGUAAAGGGCGCGUAGGCGGCCCGGUAAGUCUGGAGUGAAAGUCCUGUUUUUAAGAUGGGAAUUGCUUUGGAUACUGUCGGGCUUGAGUGCAGGAGAGGUAAGUGGAAUUCCCAGUGUAGCGGUGAAAUGCGUAGAGAUUGGGAGGAACACCAGUGGCGAAGGCGACUUCCUGGACUUUAACUGACGCUGAGGAGCGAAAGUGUGGGGAGCAAACAGGAUUAGAUACCCUGGUAGUCCACACUGUAAACGAUGAAUGCUAGGUGUAGGGGGUAUCGACCCCUUCUGUGCCGCAGUCAACACAAUAAGCAUUCCGCCUGGGGAGUCCGGCCGCAAAGUUGAAACUCAAAUGAAUUGGCGGG